AAUGAACGCUGGCGGCAGGCCUAACACAUGCAAGUCGAACGGCAGCACGGACUUCGGUCUGGUGGCGAGUGGCGAACGGGUGAGUAAUGUAUCGGAACGUGCCCAGUCGUGGGGGAUAACGUAGUGAAAAUUACGCUAAUACCGCAUACGAUCUAUGGAUGAAAGCGGGGGAUCGCAAGACCUCGCGCGAUUGGAGAGGCUGAUAUCAGAUUAGGUAGUUGGUGGGGUAAAGGCCCACCAAGCCAACGAUCUGUAGCUGGUCUGAGAGGACGACCAGCCACACUGGAACUGAGACACGGUCCAGACUCCUACGGGAGGCAGCAGUGGGGAAUUUUGGACAAUGGGCGAAAGCCUGAUCCAGCCAUUCCGCGUGCAGGAUGAAGGCCCUCGGGUUGUAAACUGCUUUUGUACAGAACGAAAAGGUUUCUACUAAUACUAGGAGCUCAUGACGGUACUGUAAGAAUAAGCACCGGCUAACUGCGUGCCAGCAGCCGCCGUAA
rnacentral:rRNA from 1 species